rnacentral:lncRNA from 1 species
CGAGAACUUGGAAUCUUCUGUUGAGCUGGAGACCAACGAAAUGAUCAGGCAGCAAUCUCUUUGUUCUGGAAAUUAGUUGAGACUAUUUAACAGCCUCAGGGGCACCCUCCGCAGCACAGGGAACGGGGAUUCUCGGUGGAUAUUUCCUUUGCUGGAGGAGUAAAUCAGGUUGUGAGGACAAUGACACAGAGAAAGGUGUCCAUUUUAUUGAAGGAUAGGAUCUGCCAUUGGCCUGAGGAUCAUCAAUUAACUAUCCUGGCUGGCCAGCCACUCCUGCCCCCCUCGGGAUCCUCUGCCUUCAGGUCCUCAACAAAGGGAUUAUCUACAUAUGCUACCACACCUAACUAAAAAAAUAAUCUGGCAUAGCUUCUGAGUAUUUGAACUCAGUUCUUCAUGCUUCCAAGUAGUUUAAAGUACAAUAAAAGCAAGUACUUUAUUAACUGAGCCAUCUCCCCUACUUCCCUUUCUGGAAGCAAUUUGUGAGGUUGACUGGCUGUGUAUGAGGUCACUGCUGGGAUGUGACAAUUGAGAAGUAUAUUCACAGGAACACAAAUCAACAGACAAAUUUUGGGUGGGGAAUGAUUUUCCCAGAUUGCGUAAUAGUCUAUCCUGCUUCUCCAUGGGAAUAAUCUUUAGAAAUCUGGGUGUGACAGGGCAAGAAUGGAUUUAGGAAGGUCGGGUAUUUGGCAAAUACAGUUUGUAGAAUCACCACCCCCAUCCACCAAGGACUUAUGUUUCUGAGAUACAAAUAGAAGAAGACAGAGGUGCUGGGCUUACAAAAUAGAAUGGACCCAAAGGCUAAUGCUACAAAUCUGUCUGGCAGGCCCUAAACAGUUGCAUGGCACUUUGCUCAUAGUAUUUGUUUCUCUCUUGCUUCAUGCUAGUAGCAUUUAUUUCUGCAUGGUGAACUUGAUUCUUUAAAUGUCAGCAACUUAAACACAGCACUCAGCUGCGCCACAAAUAACCCCAGCUCUGGGGUGCGUGAUACUUUACCAAAAACGUGAAAAUGGGCUUGUUUGUUUGGAUAACGUGAAGUGUUUUUGUUUCUUCAUUUCUGCUUUAAGUCUGAGGACUCUGGCAUCUACCUCAUCCGCCGUGCAUUUGAGGCUGGUAGCAAUAUUGGGAAAGAAAUAUGAUAAUGACCGCUGCCACCAAGCGCUCUCUUUCUCAGCUCCGGUUUCACAUGUGUUGGUUCAAUGGAAUAUUCAAUAGACAUUUAUAGGAAAUAAAUUGAGAGAUGAAUG